GACCAUCUUGACAUCCCAAAUCACAGUUUGACACCAUUUGCCAUCUCUCUUCCAGGGCCUGGCCCAUGGCAGGAGCUCAGGAAAUGUCAGAUAAAUGAUUGAAUUUACAAGAACAAGCCCAACAGUUAAGAAAACUUCAGCUCCUGCCUCCUGCCCAUGCAGCCCAGAAGGGCCAGUUUCAUGCCAUGUUUGAUUGCCGCUCCGGUCCCAGGAGGGAUGGAAUCUGCUGUCUCACCAAGACUUGGGCAUGAGGCUGGCCUUCUCCAGAAGCUCCAGGCCCAGAGAAACAAUACAUCUAACCAAAGUCCCCCAGGGAGUCUUGGCACACAGUUGGUGCUCAGUGGACAUUGGAAUGUUUCAACAGCCAUGUCUCCUUGUUGCUGAACUGAGCAACAUCCAUGGACAUCCAUGGGACAGAUGGUUCUCUCUCCAGCAUGGAAUCAGAAGGCCUGGUUUCAAGUUCCAGGACUGUGCCUCAUUCAUUGUGUGUUGCUGGCUGAGUCACUUAACCUGCCUGAGCAAAGAACAGAGAAGCAGUCAGAUUUGGAAUCCACUGGGGAGGCAGGGUUUGUAAAACUUGUUGAUUAAAUGAACAAGAGUAUGUGGGAAUGAGAAGAAUCAAAAUCUAAGCCAAGCAUCUGGCCUGAACAGCUGGGUGGUCAGUGAACCCAUUUCCUGGAAUGAAGAAGAUGGGAAUGCAGGGGUGUUUUUGGAGUGGAGUUUGGGUCAAGAGUUUGGAUUUCUAUGUAAUGGAAGUUGUGGGCAGCCAUUGGAAGGAUAUUGACUUUCCUUCCAAGGAGCUGGAGAGCUUCUUAGAGGCCUUUGUCACACCUACCUGGUUCUCCCAGCUCUCUCCAGCUAACAGCCCAAGUCCUUCUCUCCGGCUACAUGACCCUACACAGUAUGGUCCCCACUGCCUCUCUGCCCACUGCCCAUAGGACUCCUUCUUGCUCUCUGUUGGCCCCUGCUCUAGGAUGUGUCCCUUACUUUCUCAGCAGGACCUUCUCAUCUCCCAGAUACCCACCUGGCUCUCCCAUCACCUCCUUCAAUCUUUGUCUAAAUGUCACCUUCUCAAGAAAACCAAGCCUGGCCACUCCACUCUCUGCAAAAAUAGCAAAACUCUACCCUUCCUCUCUCUAGUAUCCCCUGUCCCUCUCACUGGGUUUAUUUUUCUUCAAAGUACUUACCACAUUCUAAUUCACUCACACCUAGAAUCUCUGCUUCCUCUCACUUGAAUAUAAACUUCAGGACGGCAGGGAUUUUUGUUUGCUUUGUUCACUGCUGUAUCCCCACAGCCGAGAAUGGUGCCCAGCAUGUAGUAGGGCAGGGAUUUUUGUUUGCUUUGUUCACUGCUAUAUUCCCACAGCCGAGAAUGGUGCCUAGCAUGUAGUAGGUGCUCAAUAAAUAUAUGUUAAAU
rnacentral:lncRNA from 10 species